rnacentral:lncRNA from 1 species
UCUUAGUUCUCCAACCCUCUAACCUCGUGUAGUCGCACGGUCAGACAUUACUCAUCAUGGCCAGACUUCACGUAUGUACACGUCAGUUUUAUAGGGAAGACCCUCCACCUCCAAAAGGUAUUGAAAUGUUUGUGGGAAAAUUACCACGUGAUGUGUUCGAAGAAUUGAAUCGAAUCUUCUCUACAAUCGGUACUUCAAGGUGAAAUGGAAAGGUUAGCCUAACGCGUAACCCAAGUCAUUGUUUACAUUUCCAUCAGAGAUAAAACUAAAAAUAGUCGUUUUGCAUUUGUCGAGUACGUUAAUCAUCGUGCAGCUUCCAAGACUCGUAGAAAGUUGAUACCUAACCGCAUUCAAUUAACAGAGAUAGCUGUCGACUGGGUCGAGUAGGGAAAUGAAAUCGAUGAAGACGCCAUGUCGCAGGUUACGUUCUUGUACGUCUGCAACUUGUCGCUGACAACUGCAGAACAAGUUCUUCGUGGAAAUUCAAUUAUACCUUUACUGACAGUUCGACAUCUUUCAUGCCGAAUUAUUACAACAGUGGAGAACAUUCGAGUACAACAGCUAGCGUGUAAGAUUGUCCCACGUCUUACAACAGGUAAUUGAUCUGGCUUGGCUUAACCUGUUUAUCUUUUAUAUUGCUUUGUUUGCUUUUAUAUGUAUUUAGCGCAUAUUUGUUAGUAGAGGUGUGAGUAAAGAGUUAGUAAUUUUGUUAACAUAUUAAGCCAGAUAUGGGGGCACAUCACGUAUAAACUUUCUUCGAUUGUCGAUCAUAUUAUCCUAUAUAGCGUAUUAGGAUAAUAGAAUUCUACACUCCCAUGAUUUUUUUUUAUGUGGUUCGAUCAGUAGCUCAGCAAACGGCAGGUCCAAAAUUUGUUGGUUGUAUUUAACGAGUAAAAUUUAUUGACUUCUGGAGAACAUUGGACGUGGCUUUCCAUGUUCCGUCUAAUUGGAGCCCCCCAUCUCGACUCACGCCUCAUGAGUAGGAUUCACUCAACAAGUCCUCUACGAAUUCCCAAAGGUUUCGCUCUUUUGGACCGCAGUAAGCGGUGCCCUUCGAUCGGUAAUAAUUUACUUUAGUUGAUUUUAGGAUAGAGACGAAAGCUUUUGACGAGGCUAAAUAAAGUUAUGCGAAGCCUCUCGACAUUUCACGCUCUACUACGCCGUCGGUUACCUAGUACCUACUCAGUACCUUGGGGUUCGGUCAUCGUGUUUUCACUGACGCCGACGAAAGGGAAGUAACGGAAGUUGUUGUUCGCCUUUUGUUGAUACGAAAUCUACGUCUAUGAAAACAUGCCUGGACUACUACGGACACCAGUUCGAAUUAAUUAAGCAACCCGUGCCUGGUUUGGGAUUAGGCCAUCAAUCAACUUUCGCAACAUUUCGGCAUCGACCUUAUUCUCAAGUAUGCGGCGGCCACUUUUUCUUUUGGCGCUUCUUUUCUUUCUUUUCAUAGACGGAUGGCAUUGCACUACAAGCAUUGUACCUAACGAAUUCACUUUGUUUUGUCUGUUGUUGCUUGCCAUGCACGUUGACCGCGACCCGCAAUAGCCAGUCACGCCUGUUAAAUACGCCCGCCUGCAUGUAAUCCGAGAUCCCCAAACAACUUUCUAUCGAAAAGUACGACAACAAAACUUUCGGAGCACGAGAACAAAGGUUAUGUUCACCAGCAGUCUGACCAUGAUUUUUGUCUAAUACUAUCUUUGCAAUUUGAUCUAGAACACCUGGAGUUUCCAGAGCAAGGAUCAUAACAAACUCAUGUUUUUUUAGUUUUUAGUUUUUUUUUUUCAAUCUGGCAAUUUGACACUCUUACUUCCGGUGGAGUUCCGGUGCAAAAUUAGACGUGAUUAUAGAAUUGCAAAUUUGCAACACUAGAUGGCGAAGGGUAUAUUGUUGUCGUUUUAAUGGCGCUCAUGGCGAACAGCAAAUGUCGAAAGUUAUUUUUACUUUUUGUUAAGUUCUUAGUUUUUACGGACCAAAUUUAAAAUUAUGUGUAAGUAAAUCUGCAACUGUUUUUAGUCUAACCGGCAAGGCGGCAAAGUUAAUUGCUUACAUUUAUCUCUUAGUCUACUUUUCCUAUUUCUAGUCUACCUUUCCUGUUGUCUCGUCAAGGUAAAUUAUCAACUAAAAAAUCGUCAACAUUCAGCUUCAUGCCGAUGACGGAUAGAGAUAUUUACAGCAAAGAAAUUGACAGCUUUAUGACUUGGUGCAACAAAUUAGACAUCUCGCAUAGGACCAACUUCCUGACAUAAUGACUCUUCUGUCAUUUGGGGAUCCAGCCAAGAAAACCAUCACUCAUAACCAAUGCGGCAAUGCCCAUAAUGCCCAUCAAAUAUUCCGAGUACGUCAAAUGAGAUCCCUGUCGACUCACCAUUUCAUAUCGAACGCCACUCCUCCCGUCAAUCUGGAAAAAACUUUCUGACGAGGAUUCGGUCGUAUGAUGUCGGUCGUUUUGACGUCGUCCACCGCGAGGAGACGCUACUCGAUGUUAUCCACUCAGUGAGCCGAAACGGCAGAUCCAUCUUUUUCACUGUCGUUUUGACUCUCAUCCCAGUCUACAUGUUUUCCAUCAUCGGGUAUCACGUUCAGUUUCACGCCAAAUUGUUAUUAUAUCUACAACAUAGUGUCUUAAAUUAAUUACAAUUUUUCUACUGUUCGUUUCAGAGAUGUCCGUCAGUAUGUGCGUAUGUGCAAUUAGUGGAUUGUCCUUAUGCUUUCAACUCUCGACAAAGCAUCCACCGAUAACAACGCUAUAUUGUUUCCUUCAAUAAUGUUCUUUUGCUUUGUAAGAGUUCAUGGUCAGUUGGAGCUGUUUACAUUGUUGCUGUUUGGUGUCCAGUGGUUUUGCAGUCCCUUUCCAGUUGAGAGAUGCUCUGAAAUGGAGUUUGUGCAGACUUGCAGUUCAACAUCACACUUAAAUGUGUCAUUUGUCUAUGUUGGUGUCCAUGCAGUAUUUGCAGUGUUGAACAGUUGGGUAAAAUAGUUCAUGCUGCCUGAUGGCUGUCGGUCUUAUUUUAUCGGUUGCAUUUUUUCGAUAUGUCAUCCCUUGCUACCUGUAUCGUCGUUUAGUUUCAUCGUUUGCUGCCGUUCCAUAGACUUGAUCCAUUGGUAAACUGAGGAGAGGUUGCUGAAAUUCAAGAAUCGUCAAUAAAUUAUGUAGAUGCUGUAGAAAAAUUACAAGUGCAUAUCUGGGCUCCCUUCUUCAGUGGCCCCGUUUCCCUAA